UACGAAGGGGGCGAGCGUUGUUCGGAAUUACUGGGCGUAAAGGGCGCGUAGGCGGCGACCCAAGUCAGAUGUGAAAGUCCUGGGCUUAACCUGGGGACUGCAUUUGAUACUGGGUUGCUUGAAUUCGGGAGAGGAUAGCGGAAUUCCCAGUGUAGAGGUGAAAUUCGUAGAUAUUGGGAAGAACACCGGUGGCGAAGGCGGCUAUCUGGACCGACAUUGACGCUGAGACGCGAAAGCGUGGGGAGCAAACAGG
rnacentral:rRNA from 1 species